rnacentral:rRNA from 1 species
AGGACGAACGCUGGCGGCGUGCCUAACACAUGCAAGUCGAACGCGCUCCAUUCGGUAGCAAUACUGAUGAAGAGCGAGUGGCGAACGGGUGAGUAGCACGUGAGCAACCUGCCCCGAAGACCGGGACAACACCGGGAAACCGGUGCUAAUACCGGAUAUCCCUAUCGGACCGCAUGAUCUGAUAAGGAAAUGGAUUCCGCUUCGGGAGGGGCUCGCGGCCUAUCAGCUAGUUGGUGAGGUAACGGCCCACCAAGGCAUCGACGGGUAGCUGGUCUGAGAGGACGAUCAGCCACACUGGGACUGAGACACGGCCCAGACUCCUACGGGAGGCAGCAGUGGGGAAUCUUGCGCAAUGGGCGAAAGCCUGACGCAGCAACGCCGCGUGGAGGAUGAAAUCCCUUGGGAUGUAAACUCCUUUCGAUAGGGAAGAUAAUGACGGUACCUAUAGAAGAAGCCCGGCUAACUUCGUGCCAGCAGCCGCGGUAAU